GCAAGUCGAACGAGGUGUAGCAAUACAUUCUAGUGGCGGACGGGUGAGGAACACGUAGGAAUUUGCCUUAGAGCGGGGGAUAGCCCAGGGAAACUUGGAGUAAUACCGCAUGAUGUCGAAAGACCAAAGCAGGGGACCGCAAGGCCUUGCACUCUGAGAGAAGCCUACGUCUGAUUAGCUUGUUGGUGAGGUAAUGGCUCACCAAGGCGACGAUCAGUAACUGGUCUGAGAGGACGAUCAGUCACACUGGAACUGAGACACGGUCCAGACUCCUACGGGAGGCAGCAGUGGGGAAUAUUGGACAAUGGGCGCAAGCCUGAUCCAGCAAUGCCGCGUGUGUGAAGAAGGCCUUCGGGUUGUAAAGCACUUUAAGCAGGGAAGAAAAAACUCGAGCUAACAUCUUGAGUCUUGACGGUACCUGAAGAAUAAGCACCGGCUAACUCUGUGCCAGCAGCCGCGGUAAUACAGAGGGUGCAAGCGUUAAUCGGAUUUACUGGGCGUAAAGGGUGUGUAGGUGGUUUGACAAGUCGGUUGUGAAAUCCCCGGGCUCAACCUGGGAACUGCUUCCGAGACUGUUUGACUAGAGUACGGUAGAGGGCGGUGGAAUUUCCGGUGUAGCGGUGAAAUGCGUAGAUAUCGGAAGGAACACCAAUGGCGAAGGCAGCCGCCUGGGCCUGUACUGACACUGAAACACGAAAGCGUGGGGAUCAAACAGGAUUAGAUACCCUGGUAGUCCACGCCGUAAACGAUGGACACUUGACGUCGGCAUGCUCUGCGUGUCGGUGUCGUAGCUAACGCGAUAAGUGUCCCGCCUGGGGAGUACGGCCGCAAGGUUGAAACUCAAAGGAAUUGACGGGGGCCCGCACAAGCGGUGGAGUAUGUGGUUUAAUUCGAUGCUACGCGAAGAACCUUACCUGGCCUUGACAUGCUAGGAAUCCUGCAGUGAUGUGGGAGUGCCCCGCAGGGAACCUAGACACAGGUGCUGCAU
rnacentral:rRNA from 1 species